UGGCAGCAUUACAAGAGACAAAGGCUUUCCAUCAAAUGAUAUCUUUUUUGCUCUCCAGGCAUCACGGAUGAUUUUAUAUAGUUGAUCACAUAUCACUGUAGGUGUCGCGGACAGAAAUGUCAACACUUUACGCUGCUGGCCAAAGAAGUUGUCACAGCAAAAAUGUGUGUUGAACUGGCGCCUGGUCCACGCUGGGGGACAGGGUGGGGAUAACAGGUUAGGAGGAACUGUGAAAUGUCAUUGUGGCACCUCCAGGAAUUGUCAUCACUUUGAGAGAGCCAGAGGCUGGAGUGAAGAGGGCAUCAUAUAUUUUCAGAGCCAGGCGUGCUGCAGUAUUGGGCCAGAGCUGCUUCCCAUCAAUCAUAAUGUGAAAUACGCGGAGCGCUUUAUUCAGGCUUUCGGGCUUUCUCACCACACACAAAAGACAAACAGAGGCUAAUUACUACAAUAUAUCAGUAUACACUUUACUGAGAAAUAUGGGUUUGUGCAUAUCAACGGUGUGCUUGAGCAUAUAGUUUUGAUAUUAAAUCUUCAUUACUGCCACUCAAGUCUCAGGACCCUCGGGAACCAUAAGAAUAUGACACCUAUGCACACUUUAGAAGAAUAGUUUAACUGUAGAUCAUGUCGAUACACAACUGGCCGUGGUCCAACCACCACAAUUGCUGCAAGGCUGGAAUUUAGAGCUCCUCUUUUCCUGGAGUAAAAAAAACAAUUCCAGUUGAACUGAAAGAGAAUCACCAACACCUUUUUUUUUAUUUUGUAUGCCACUUUCUUAAGUUUGCAUCUUCUAGCAUGUAUAUUUGUGUUCCCUGAGGUGUGUUUGUCUGUGUGUGUGGGAGAGGGCUUGUGUUUCCUCAGUGUCUAAUGCUGAUACUCGCUGCUGCAGCAGUGACACUGCACUUUUGCCAGGCAUGCUAUGUUUUGUGAUAGCUGUGUACACACCCUGGAUUGUUUAAUGUGGUGGUCCCAGGUGCAGUUUAUUUGAAUCGCCUUCACAAUGAGAGCAGCCUCUGGAAAAUCUGAAUUCCUUCCUUUAUUUUGUUUUAGAGCCAAUUAGCAAACAGCUUAAUGUUAAUAUGAUUGGAAGAUUACACCUUGUAAAGAUCAGCGUGUUAAGUUGUCAUUUGUGCAUAUGUGAAACUGCUAACUUUAGCAUGUAGCGGUGCAUCACACAGCAACAGGCAUUGCUAUGAUCUUCUAGCAUUGUUACGUCCAGCUGAACUGUUCAAAUAGAACCUAACAUCACUGUUGUUUUUAUUCUUUUUAAUUGAUGUUUACAAGAUUGUAACAUACAUGGUGAAUGUGUGUCUAAAUGGUUGACUUUGAGUGUAACACUAGCUUACUGUAAACCUGCACCGGUUACAACAGCUGACAUCUCUCAACCAUUUAUCUUAAACAUCCAAAAGGUCAGUCAUUUUUUAGCUCCCCCACUGCUUACAUUUUGACUUUUACUUGACAGCAGCGGUACACAGGAUACGCUGCUUGUGCAACCAAUGUGUGAGAGAUCGUCAGCUACGCUAGUGAUAUGAUGGCCAAAAUAAAACUCAGGCCUCGAUCUGUCAGAAAGCAGGUUCUUGUCAGUGUUGCUCAAGAGACUUGAAUGUGUGGGAAAUGGUUGUGAGAAAGAAUGAGGCCUCCCUCACUGGGGGAGCAGCAGGGCAGGACGCAAAUUUUUAGGAGCAAGCUAACAUGUUGGUUUCUGAGCAAUGAUCGAGCUGCGACACGCCCAUUACCUCACACUCAUUCACAUGAUUCACACAUGAUUCAUGCAGAAUAAGUGCAGGACUGUACUUGAAGUUGAAUAUCUGUGAUAAAACCUGAACAGUAAACCAUUUUUUUUUUUUUUUU